rnacentral:rRNA from 1 species
UACGAAGGGUGCAAGCGUUACUCGGAAUUACUGGGCGUAAAGCGUGCGUAGGUGGUUUGUUAAGUCUGUUGUGAAAGCCCCGGGCUCAACCUGGGAAUGGCAAUGGAUACUGGCAGGCUAGAGUGCGGUAGAGGGUAGUGGAAUUCCCGGUGUAGCGGUGAAAUGCGUAGAGAUCGGGAGGAACACCAGUGGCGAAAAGCGGCUCACUGGACCACAACUGACGCUGAUGCACGAAAGCUAGGGGAGCAAACAGG